AACGUAGGAGGCAAGCGUUAUCCGGAUUUACUGGGUUUAAAGGGUGCGUAGGUGGGCAGGUAAGUCAGUGGUGAAAUCUUCAAGCUUAACUUGGAAACUGCCAUUGAUACUAUUUGUCUUGAAUAUCCUGGAGGUAAGCGGAAUAUGUCAUGUAGCGGUGAAAUGCUUAGAUAUGACAUAGAACACCCAUUGCGAAGGCAGCUUACUACGGGAUUAUUGACACUGAGGCACGAAAGCGUGGGGAUCAAACAGG
rnacentral:rRNA from 1 species